rnacentral:tRNA from 1 species
ACCCUGGUAGCUCAGUGGUAGAGCACUUGACGCGUAAUCAAGGGAGCCGUGGUUCGAUUCCCGGCUGGGUA